GAUUAACGCUGGCGGCGUGCAUAACACAUGCAAGUCGAACGAAGUGGCGGACGGGUGAGUAACGCGUGAGUAACCUGCCUUAGAGAAGGGGAAAGCCUUUGGAAACGAAGAAUAAUACCCUAUACUCUAAGAUGGACUUGCGUCUGAUUAGUUAGUUGGGGAGGUAACGGCCCACCACGGCAGCGAUCAGUAGCCGGCUUGAGAGAGUGUACGGCCACAUUGGGACUGAGACACGACCCAGACUCUACGGGAGGCAGCAGUGGGGAAUUUUGCACAAUGGGGGAAACCCUGAUGCAGCGACGCCGCGUGAUUUAGAAGGCCUUCGGGUUGUAAACUCCUCCCUGACGAAGGGCGGUAGAUGGAGAAGAAGCACCGGCUAACUACGUGCCAGCCGCCGCGGUAAUAC
rnacentral:rRNA from 1 species